rnacentral:rRNA from 1 species
CCUUGCCAGCCCGCUCAGAAACUCAAAGGAAUUGACGGGGGCCCGCACAAGCGGUGGAGUAUGUGGUUUAAUUCGAUGCAACGCGAAGAACCUUACCUGGCCUUGACAUCCACGGAACUUUCCAGAGAUGGAUUGGUGCCUUCGGGAACCGUGAGACAGGUGUUGCAUGGCUGUCGUCAGCUCGUGUCGUGAGAUGUUCGGUUAAGUCCGCUAACGAGCGCAACCCUCGCUGUAUGUUACAUGUGUCAUACAGGACCGCCGGUAUCAAGCCGGAGGAAGGUGGGGAUGACGUCAAGUCCGCAUGGCCUUUAUGUCCGGGGCUACACACACGCUACAAUGGUCGGUACAAUGGGUUGCUAAGCCGCGAGGUGGAGCCAAUCCCCCAAAGCCGGCCUCAGUUCAGAUUGCAGGCUGCAACUCGCCUGCAUGAAGCUGGAGUUGCUAGUAAACGCGCGUCAGCUAUAGUGCGUUGAAUACGUUCUCGGGCCUU